ACGAACGCUGGCGGCGUGCUUAACACCUGCAAGUCGCACGGAAAGGCCCUGCUUUUGUGGGGUGCUCGAGUGGCGAACGGGUGAGUAACACGUGAGUAACCUGCCCUUGACUUUGGGAUAACUUCAGGAAACUGGGGCUAAUACCGGAUAGGAGCUCCUGCUGCAUGGUGGGGGUUGGAAAGUUUCGGCGAUUGGGGAUGGACUCGCGGCUUAUCAGCUUGUUGGUGGGGUAGUGGCUUACCAAGGCUUUGACGGGUAGCCGGCCUGAGAGGGUGACCGGCCACAUUGGGACUGAGAUACGGCCCAGACUCCUACGGGAGGCAGCAGUGGGGAAUAUUGCACAAUGGGCGGAAGCCUGAUGCAGCAACGCCGCGUGCGGGAUGACGGCCUUCGGGUUGUAAACCGCUUUCGCCUGUGACGAAGCGUGAGUGACGGUAAUGGGUAAAGAAGCACCGGCUAACUACGUG
rnacentral:rRNA from 1 species